rnacentral:tRNA from 1 species
GCCCCCAUAGUUCAAAGGAUAGAACGGGAACCUCCUAAGUUCUAAAUCUGGGUUCGACUCCCGGUGGGGGCA